GCCUGCAUCCCAGCAGCCGAAACCCUACCUACAUUCCCUUUCACCCACGGACAGCAACACCCAUGGUUUCCCCUUCCACGACCGAAAGUAACAGAAGCAAAGAAGGAAAGGGAGACUGAGCUGCGGCGAGGAAGGGAGGAGGGAGCUCAUCGCCGCCAUCGCGCCUCACGGCGCCUCACCGCCGCAGCAGUCCAUGCUGCCAGGGACACUGUCGAACCACCACGUUGCCACCGAUUUGCCGCCGUCAAAGUUUCCUGCAUCGCCAUUGUUCGCGCAGAAGAGGGUUUGAGGAGAAGCAGUUGUCGCGCGCGAGCUAGAGGAGCUCAUCCUCGCCGAUCUGACGCCGUCGGGGUUACCGCGCUGUCGUCCUUAUCAGCUCGGAAUGAGAAGAACAAUGGGGCUUUGUUUCUGCUUCCCUGGUUCGCCGUGAGUGGGUGACGUUUGGGAGGGAGAGGGAGUCGCUGUGGAGCCACGAGCUGCGCCGGUCACUGCCACGUCGCGUCGGAGAGGAAGGCUGAGACUGAGCACCGCUGGGAGAGAGGACAACGCGAGCUAGAGGUCCGGUCGCCGCUGUGCUAUGGAGCAGACUGAAUCGCGCCGUGCUGUUGGGGUUCUCACCGUCGCCGGAAACGGAUUCAGGCCGCCGCCGGAGCUCCGGGCUGAGUUUCUGACACUUGAGACCCUGCCGCCAUCGUGUGCCACCGCCGUUACCGUCACUGGUGUUUUUGCUCGCGAUUGUCACUUGGGGUUACUGACGGAGCCACUGCCGGGUUGAUAAGGAGCUGCGGCUGCUUCAUUUUGUUAUUUCAGAGUUAGAAUCUGGUUUGAUUAUGCCACUUGUAGCUGUUUCUGCUUUCGAGAGAGCAAGCCGAGUCGGGUUCUGAUUGCCGGUGAUUUCGGGCGGAGCGAAAAGAGUUUAGUUGACACGUUUGGGUUGUGAUUUUGGUGUUUUGAGGAUUUGGGCGCAGAAGUUAUGAAGAGUUUAAUUAUUUGUUAUUGAGAUGCUCUGUAUUGCUUUAGAUUAUAUAUUUAUGUACCCUCGCCUUUAUCUUGAUAUAUUCUGUGAGAGGGAUAGGAAUUGUACUGGAUAAUGUUUGUAAUAUUAUUUAUAUAUAUGUAUGUAUAUAUAUAUGGAUGUACUCUUUAUGAGUUUCUGUAAGUUGUAUGGUAUGUGUGGAUGUACGUUGUAUGGCGAAAGUGUUUUUGGGAAUGGUAUUGCGGUUUAAAGUUUUUAAACAGGCUCAUAUUUUAGUAUUAAAUAGUAUAAGUGUCGUCGUAAUGUCCGAGCUAUCAGAGUUGCGCAGCCGGAAGCGUGAGCUUUGGUAGUUAGGGUGUUACAGCAUACCUGCCAAUUUAUAAACGAUGAUCAUUGCUGCAAAAAAAAAAUUGAUAAUCAAUUUAUUAACUAAGGACUAUUUAACAAUUAUUAAAAUACUUAAAAAAACAUAUUUUGUUACUAGGACUAUUUAAUAGUUCAGACGUUUUGGGACCAUCAACACUGGAGCCAGCUAACUAUGGCAAAUACAAUGUAGGCAGCAACAAAAAAGGUCCAAUAAUAUGAAAAACCACUCCACACCCUACCCAAACCUAAACCUAAUUUCACUUUUCACUUUCAUGUACAAUAAAAUUAAAAAAAUAACU